GGUUAAGCGACUAAGCGUACACGGUGGAUGCCCUGGCAGUCAGAGGCGAUGAAGGACGUGCUAAUCUGCGAUAAGCGUCGGUAAGGUGAUAUGAACCGUUAUAACCGGCGAUUUCCGAAUGGGGAAACCCAGUGUGAUUCGUCACACUAUCAUUAACUGAAUCCAUAGGUUAAUGAGGCGAACCGGGGGAACUGAAACAUCUAAGUACCCCGAGGAAAAGAAAUCAACCGAGAUUCCCCCAGUAGCGGCGAGCGAACGGGGAGGAGCCCAGAGCCUGAAUCAGUGUGUGUGUUAGUGGAAGCGUCUGGAAAGGCGCGCGAUACAGGGUGACAGCCCCGUACACAAAAAUGCACAUGCUGUGAGCUCGAUGAGUAGGGCGGGACACGUGGUAUCCUGUCUGAAUAUGGGGGGACCAUCCUCCAAGGCUAAAUACUCCUGACUGACCGAUAGUGAACCAGUACCGUGAGGGAAAGGCGAAAAGAACCCCGGCGAGGGGAGUGAAAAAGAACCUGAAACCGUGUACGUACAAGCAGUGGGAGCACAGAGCAAUCUGUGUGACUGCGUACCUUUUGUAUAAUGGGUCAGCGACUUAUAUUCUGUAGCAAGGUUAACCGAAUAGGGGAGCCGAAGGGAAACCGAGUCUUAACUGGGCGUUAAGUUGCAGGGUAUAGACCCGAAACCCGGUGAUCUAGCCAUGGGCAGGUUGAAGGUUGGGUAACACUAACUGGAGGACCGAACCGACUAAUGUUGAAAAAUUAGCGGAUGACUUGUGGCUGGGGGUGAAAGGCCAAUCAAACCGGGAGAUAGCUGGUUCUCCCCGAAAGCUAUUUAGGUAGCGCCUCGUGAAUUCAUCUCCGGGGGUAGAGCACUGUUUCGGCAAGGGGGUCAUCCCGACUUACCAACCCGAUGCAAACUGCGAAUACCGGAGAAUGUUAUCACGGGAGACACACGGCGGGUGCUAACGUCCGUCGUGAAGAGGGAAACAACCCAGACCGCCAGCUAAGGUCCCAAAGUCAUGGUUAAGUGGGAAACGAUGUGGGAAGGCCCAGACAGCCAGGAUGUUGGCUUAGAAGCAGCCAUCAUUUAAAGAAAGCGUAAUAGCUCACUGGUCGAGUCGGCCUGCGCGGAAGAUGUAACGGGGCUAAACCAUGCACCGAAGCUGCGGCAGCGACGCUGAUGCGUUGUUGGGUAGGGGAGCGUUCUGUAAGCCUGUGAAGGUGUGCUGUGAGGCAUGCUGGAGGUAUCAGAAGUGCGAAUGCUGACAUAAGUAACGAUAAAGCGGGUGAAAAGCCCGCUCGCCGGAAGACCAAGGGUUCCUGUCCAACGUUAAUCGGGGCAGGGUGAGUCGACCCCUAAGGCGAGGCCGAAAGGCGUAGUCGAUGGGAAACAGGUUAAUAUUCCUGUACUUGGUGUUACUGCGAAGGGGGGACGGAGAAGGCUAUGUUGGCCGGGCGACGGUUGUCCCGGUUUAAGCGUGUAGGCUGGUUUUCCAGGCAAAUCCGGAAAACUAAGGCUGAGGCGUGAUGACGAGGCACUACGGUGCUGAAGCAACAAAUGCCCUGCUUCCAGGAAAAGCCUCUAAGCAUCAGGUAACAUCAAAUCGUACCCCAAACCGACACAGGUGGUCAGGUAGAGAAUACCAAGGCGCUUGAGAGAACUCGGGUGAAGGAACUAGGCAAAAUGGUGCCGUAACUUCGGGAGAAGGCACGCUGAUAUGUAGGUGAAGUCCCUCGCGGAUGGAGCUGAAAUCAGUCGAAGAUACCAGCUGGCUGCAACUGUUUAUUAAAAACACAGCACUGUGCAAACACGAAAGUGGACGUAUACGGUGUGACGCCUGCCCGGUGCCGGAAGGUUAAUUGAUGGGGUCAGCGCAAGCGAAGCUCUUGAUCGAAGCCCCGGUAAACGGCGGCCGUAACUAUAACGGUCCUAAGGUAGCGAAAUUCCUUGUCGGGUAAGUUCCGACCUGCACGAAUGGCGUAAUGAUGGCCAGGCUGUCUCCACCCGAGACUCAGUGAAAUUGAACUCGCUGUGAAGAUGCAGUGUACCCGCGGCAAGACGGAAAGACCCCGUGAACCUUUACUAUAGCUUGACACUGAACAUUGAGCCUUGAUGUGUAGGAUAGGUGGGAGGCUUUGAAGUGUGGACGCCAGUCUGCAUGGAGCCGACCUUGAAAUACCACCCUUUAAUGUUUGAUGUUCUAACGUUGACCCGUAAUCCGGGUUGCGGACAGUGUCUGGUGGGUAGUUUGACUGGGGCGGUCUCCUCCUAAAGAGUAACGGAGGAGCACGAAGGUUGGCUAAUCCUGGUCGGACAUCAGGAGGUUAGUGCAAUGGCAUAAGCCAGCUUGACUGCGAGCGUGACGGCGCGAGCAGGUGCGAAAGCAGGUCAUAGUGAUCCGGUGGUUCUGAAUGGAAGGGCCAUCGCUCAACGGAUAAAAGGUACUCCGGGGAUAACAGGCUGAUACCGCCCAAGAGUUCAUAUCGACGGCGGUGUUUGGCACCUCGAUGUCGGCUCAUCACAUCCUGGGGCUGAAGUAGGUCCCAAGGGUAUGGCUGUUCGCCAUUUAAAGUGGUACGCGAGCUGGGUUUAGAACGUCGUGAGACAGUUCGGUCCCUAUCUGCCGUGGGCGCUGGAGAACUGAGGGGGGCUGCUCCUAGUACGAGAGGACCGGAGUGGACGCAUCACUGGUGUUCGGGUUGUCAUGCCAAUGGCACUGCCCGGUAGCUAAAUGCGGAAGAGAUAAGUGCUGAAAGCAUCUAAGCACGAAACUUGCCCCGAGAUGAGUUCUCCCUGACUCCUUGAGAGUCCUGAAGGAACGUUGAAGACGACGACGUUGAUAGGCCGGAUGUGUAAGCGCAGCGAUGCGUUGAGCUAACCGGUACUAAUGAACCGUGAGGCUUAACCUU
rnacentral:rRNA from 1 species